rnacentral:rRNA from 1 species
UUGAAGGUUGGGUAACACUAACUGGAGGACCGAACCGACUAAUGUUGAAAAAUUAGCGGAUGACCUGUGGCUGGGGGUGAAAGGCCAAUCAAACCGGGAGAUAGCUGGUUCUCCCCGAAAGCUAUUUAGGUAGCGCCUCGUGAAUUCAUCUCCGGGGGUAGAGCACUGUUUCGGCUAGGGGGCCAUCCCGGCUUACCAACCCGAUGCAAACUGCGAAUACCGGAGAAUGUUAUCACGGGAGACACACGGCGGGUGCUAACGUCCGUCGUGAAGAGGGAAACAACCCAGACCGCCAGCUAAGGUCCCAAAGUCAUGGUUAAGUGGGAAACGAUGUGGGAAGGCCCAGACAGCCAGGAUGUUGGCUUAGAAGCAGCCAUCAUUUAAAGAAAGCGUAAUAGCUCACUGGUCGAGUCGGCCUGCGCGGAAGAUGUAACGGGGCUAAACCAUGCACCGAAGCUGCGGCAGCGACGCUGAUGCGUUGUUGGGUAGGGGAGCGUUCUGUAAGCCUGCGAAGGUGGCCUGUGAGGGUUGCUGGAGGUAUCAGAAGUGCGAAUGCUGACAUAAGUAACGAUAAAGCGGGUGAAAAGCCCGCUCGCCGGAAGACCAAGGGUUCCUGUCCAACGUUAAUCGGGGCAGGGUGAGUCGACCCCUAAGGCGAGGCCGAAAGGCGUAGUCGAUGGGAAACGGGUUAAUAUUCCCGUACUUGGUGUUACUGCGAAGGGGGGACGGAGAAGGCUAUGUUGGCCGGGCGACGGUUGUCCCGGUUUAAGCGUGUAGGUGUGUGUUCCAGGUAAAUCCGGUUCACUUUAACACUGAGGCGUGACGACGAGGCACUACGGUGCUGAAGCAACAAAUGCCCUGCUUCCAGGAAAAGCCUCUAAGCAUCAGGUAACAUCAAAUCGUACCCCAAACCGACACAGGUGGUCAGGUAGAGAAUACCAAGGCGCUUGAGAGAACUCGGGUGAAGGAACUAGGCAAAAUGGUGCCGUAACUUCGGGAGAAGGCACGCUGACACGUAGGUGAAGUGAUUUACUCAUGGAGCUGAAGUCAGUCGAAGAUACCAGCUGGCUGCAACUGUUUAUUAAAAACACAGCACUGUGCAAACACGAAAGUGGACGUAUACGGUGUGACGCCUGCCCGGUGCCGGAAGGUUAAUUGAUGGGGUCAGCGCAAGCGAAGCUCCUGAUCGAAGCCCCGGUAAACGGCGGCCGUAACUAUAACGGUCCUAAGGUAGCGAAAUUCCUUGUCGGGUAAGUUCCGACCUGCACGAAUGGCGUAAUGAUGGCCAGGCUGUCUCCACCCGAGACUCAGUGAAAUUGAACUCGCUGUGAAGAUGCAGUGUACCCGCGGCAAGACGGAAAGACCCCGUGAACCUUUACUAUAGCUUGACACUGAACAUUGAGCCUUGAUGUGUAGGAUAGGUGGGAGGCUUUGAAGUGUGGACGCCAGUCUGCAUGGAGCCGACCUUGAAAUACCACCCUUUAAUGUUUGAUGUUCUAACGUGGACCCGUGAUCCGGGUUGCGGACAGUGUCUGGUGGGUAGUUUGACUGGGGCGGUCUCCUCCUAAAGAGUAACGGAGGAGCACGAAGGUUGGCUAAUCCUGGUCGGACAUCAGGAGGUUAGUGCAAUGGCAUAAGCCAGCUUGACUGCGAGCGUGACGGCGCGAGCAGGUGCGAAAGCAGGUCAUAGUGAUCCGGUGGUUCUGAAUGGAAGGGCCAUCGCUCAACGGAUAAAAGGUACUCCGGGGAUAACAGGCUGAUACCGCCCAAGAGUUCAUAUCGACGGCGGUGUUUGGCACCUCGAUGUCGGCUCAUCACAUCCUGGGGCUGAAGUAGGUCCCAAGGGUAUGGCUGUUCGCCAUUUAAAGUGGUACGCGAGCUGGGUUUAGAACGUCGUGAGACAGUUCGGUCCCUAUCUGCCGUGGGCGCUGGAGAACUGAGGGGGGCUGCUCCUAGUACGAGAGGACCGGAGUGGACGCAUCACUGGUGUUCGGGUUGUCAUGCCAAUGGCACUGCCCGGUAGCUAAAUGCGGAAGAGAUAAGUGCUGAAAGCAUCUAAGCACGAAACUUGCCCCGAGAUGAGUUCUCCCUGAGACUUAGAGUCUCCUGAAGGAACGUUGAAGACGACGACGUUGAUAGGCCGGGUGUGUAAGCGCAGCGAUGCGUUGAGCUAACCGGUACUAAUGAACCGUGAGGCUUAACCUU